CGUCUAGGCGGAUUAGCAAGUCAGGUGUGAAAUCCCACGGCUCAACCGUGGAACUGCACUUGAAACUGCUGGUCUUGAGUACGGAAGAGGAAAGCGGAAUUCCUGGUGUAGCGGUGAAAUGCGUAGAUAUCAGGAAGAACACCGGUGGCGAAGGCGGCUUUCUGGUCCGAUACUGACGCUAAAGCGCGAAAGUGUGGGGAGCAAACAGGAUUAGAUACCCUGGUAGUCC
rnacentral:rRNA from 1 species